UACGAAGGGGGCUAGCGUUGCUCGGAAUCACUGGGCGUAAAGGGUGCGUAGGCGGGUUUUUAAGUCAGGGGUGAAAUCCCGGGGCUCAACCCCGGAACUGCCUUUGAUACUGGGUGUCUUGAGUGUGGUAGAGGUGAGUGGAAUUGCGAGUGUAGAGGUGAAAUUCGUAGAUAUUCGCAGGAACACCAGUGGCGAAGGCGGCUCACUGGACCACAACUGACGCUGAGGUGCGAAAGCGUGGGGAGCGAACAGG
rnacentral:rRNA from 1 species